UACGAAGGGGGCUAGCGUUAUUCGGAAUUACUGGGCGUAAAGCGCACGUAGGCGGCUUUGUAAGUUAGAGGUGAAAGCCUGGAGCUCAACUCCAGAACUGCCUUUAAGACUGCAUCGCUUGAAUCCAGGAGAGGUGAGUGGAAUUCCGAGUGUAGAGGUGAAAUUCGUAGAUAUUCGGAAGAACACCAGUGGCGAAGGCGGCUCACUGGACUGGUAUUGACGCUGAGGUGGCGAAAAGCGUGGGGAGCAAACAGG
rnacentral:rRNA from 1 species